AGCAGCCGCGGUAAUUCCAGCUCCAAUAGCGUAUAUUAAAGUUGCUGCAGUUAAAAAGCUCGUAGUUGAAUUUCGGGACCAUCAUGUCGGUCGUGCCUCGGUACGUACUGGCAUUGUUGGUUUCUACCUUCUGACGAACCAUGAUGUCAUUUAUUUGGUGUCGUGGAAAAUCAGGACUGUUACUUUGAAAAAAUUAGAGUGUUUAAAGCAGGCUCACGCUUGAAUACAUUAGCAUGGAAUAAUGAAAUAGGACGUUUGAUUCUAUUUUGUUGGUUUCUAGGAUCGACGUAAUGAUUAAUAGGGAUAGUUGGGGGCAUUAGUAUUCAAUUGUCAGAGGUGAAAUUCUUGGAUUUAUUGAAGACUAACUACUGCGAAAGCAUUUGCCAAGGAUGUUUUCAUUAAUCAAGAACGAAAGUUAGGGGAUCGAAGACGAUCAGAUACCGUCGUAGUCUUAACCAUAAACUAUGCCGACUAGGGAUCGGAUGAUGUUAAUUUUUUAAUGACUCAUUCGGCGCCUUAC
rnacentral:misc_RNA from 2 species